rnacentral:rRNA from 1 species
CCUACGGGGGGCAGCAGUGGGGAAUAUUGGGCAAUGGGCGCAAGCCUGACCCAGCAACGCCGCGUGAAGGAAGAAGGCUUUCGGGUUGUAAACUUCUGUUAAGGGGGAAGAGCAGAAGACGGUACCCCUUGAAUAAGCCACGGCUAACUACGUGCCAGCAGCCGCGGUAAUACGUAGGUGGCAAGCGUUGUCCGGAUUUACUGGGUGUAAAGGGCGUGCAGCCGGAGAGACAAGUCAGAUGUGAAAUCCACGGGCUCAACCCGUGAACUGCAUUUGAAACUGUUUCCCUUGAGUGUCGGAGAGGUAAUCGGAAUUCCUUGUGUAGCGGUGAAAUGCGUAGAUAUAAGGAAGAACACCAGUGGCGAAGGCGGAUUACUGGAUGAUAACUGACGGUGCGGCGCGACAGCGUGGGGAGCAAACAGGAUUAGAUACCCCAGUAGUC